GGCCGAGUGGCGAAAUGGCAGACGCAACGGACUUAAAAUCCGUCGGUGGGCAACCACCAUGCGGGUUCGACUCCCGCCUCGGCCAC
rnacentral:tRNA from 1 species